CUUUUAUUAUUAUUUAUUAUUACACACUUUUACUGUCAGAUAGUCUGAACCUCCCCCCCCCUGACAGGUUAAGAAAAGUGUCACAGACAAUGGUGGAAGAUGUUAUAUUUUACUUAAAUACAAGUAGAAAUGCAUCAAUGUGGAAACACUCUUUGUCCUUUGUUUAAAGUAAGUGCCAUCUGAAUAGUCAGUAGGGUUUAAAUGAGCUGUAUUUUAGGACCAUCUGGUGGUCGACUGUAAGCUACACUGUAAUCAAACUGUCCACAAUUUAUAUUAUAAAGGAAUAAUGUCACAAGUUAAAACAAAAAACCUGAAAUUGGACAAACUGCUUUUUUUAUCUGCAUCAAAUAAAACUAUCAGUUCAGUCAAAUAUUAAUCUGCAGUUGUUGCAUAUUUUUUGUCUUUUGAUCCCAAAUCAUUUGUGUAGUUAUUUUCAAACCUUAAGUUUCAAGCUGUUUCAAUGAUUCAAGUUGAAUAUCAGUCAAAAUGUAAAGAUAUUGCUCUUUUGGAUUUAAAGCUAAGCUGAUGAUGUGAGAUCAUCUGGGUGUGAAAAGUUUAUUUAAUCAAGUGGAAAGAGGAAAUGGGGGACACAAUGGUAUUUUAGUUAGUUUUUAUCCUCACCAUGCUUCAUUUCAUAAACAGCUUAUAGUUUGUUUAAUUUCUUUUUCUAUAUCGUGGUUCUGUACAUCCAUGUUUCAUGUACAAGUUUGUUGUUUAUCAGUUAUUAAAAGACAGAGUCCAAACUGAACCAUUCCCAUCUUAAAUACCUCACACCUUCAGCAUUUGAUCCAUGCAUGUCCAUCCAAACACCGUCUGAGCUCAUUGGAGUCUGAGCUCUGACUUCAUGUCUCACUGCUGCUGUGUAUGUUGUUCCCUCUGUGUUCGAUAGGGGCUUCAAAAUCAUGGCUUCUUGCCAUCAUCAUCCCCAUCCUCCUCCUCCUCCUCCUCCUCCUCCUCAUCGGGGUGCUUCUCUACAUAUUUCGGAAAAAGCUGCUGAAAUCCCUCAGAGCCAAACAGGGUAGUUGUAGUCAGAGACCAGAAACUGAGGAGAGCGAACAAUCAGUCGCCCUCACCAACAGGACACCCUCAAGGGGAUCUGCUGACGUCAUGUUUUCGACUUGAAACAUGAAUUUUUUAACUAAUUUUUUUUAUAAACGUUUAUUCAAUUUUCCAGAAGCAUUCAAAAAAUCAAAUUACAAAAUUACAAUUUUCACAGGUUUACAAGACUGGUCAAAAAGUGAAAAGAGAGAAGCACAGCACUUAAACAAUAUGAAAGUCAAACUAGUGAAACACAUACAUGGGUCAGAUUCCUGUAAUGUCCCAUUUCAAGCAUAUGUCCAGUUAGUUCAGUUCCAAAUUGUAUUUAACUCCAAGAUGUUCCAAUGGUCUCUUCCAUUUCUGCUGAAAAGUAUGAAUCCUCCCAUUGAUAAUGUCCCAAUUUUUCAAGAGCCAUGACCUCAGAUAUCAGAGAUUUCCACAUAAGAACAGAGGGAGGAUCAUCUCCUACCCACUUCACCAUGAUUGCUUUUCUUGCCAGCAUUAAGAGUGAUUGAAUCACUUCCUCAUGUUGUUUAAGAAAAUUGGGGACAUUUCCAAGCAAACAUAAAAGUGGAUUUGGUGACACCUGUUGUCCUAUUGCAAUACUAAUGUUUGCACAUAUUGCCCUCCAGAAUACCUGAAUUGUAUUGUAUUCCCACAGGCAAUGCAACCUAGUGCCUGCAUGACUUUUACAUUUGGGACAAUUUGGUGAAACUCCUGCUGUAUAUUUACUAUAAAUGUAUGGCGAUAUAUAAAUAUUAUGUAGGACAUUAUAUUGUAAUUCUUUAUCUGUUGCAAAUUGAAAUUCUGGAGGGUAAUCGCAAGAUGUCAUUCCACAUAUCGUCACUUAUCACACAUUUCAGUGAAGUACACCAUGAUGUUUUAAGCCAUGCCAGUUUAUCCGCAUAUAAAAUUCAACAUUUCUGAAUAAAAUUUCGACACAAAA